rnacentral:rRNA from 1 species
UGCGUAGGCGGGUUUCUAAGUCAGAGGUGAAAGCCUGGAGCUCAACUCCAGAACUGCCUUUGAUACUGGAAGUCUUGAGUAUGGCAGAGGUGAGUGGAACUGCGAGUGUAGAGGUGAAAUUCGUAGAUAUUCGCAAGAACACCAGUGGCGAAGGCGGCUCACUGGGCCAUUACUGACGCUGAGGCACGAAGGGCUGGGGAGCAAACA